UGUGAAUUUUUUAUUUUAGCCAAGAACUUUCUUCAGAGUUGAUUGAAAACCCUUUUGCCUAUUUCUUGGUGUGAUAGGAAAUGUAAAUUCCUCUUUAGGAAUGUGAUUUUGAAGCCACUUGUACUGUACAAAUCAAGUAGGAAGAAAACAAUGCUCAGGUCCACAAGGAUAAGAACAUACCACUCACAUCUGCUGGAACGGAAUUUUCGGUUGCAGUUGUUAGGAAUGCAGACAGUGGAGUUAAGAGGACCUGGAUGAGAGUGGCAAUAGAUGAGGAAACUUGACAGCUAAAAGCUUGGGGAAAUCUCCCAUAUUUACCAGUGAAUAAAUGUUAGAGCUUGAAUUCAAACUCAUGUGGGUAUAACUUCUACAUCGCUUGGCUUUUGCCUACAAGGUGUGCCCCCAUCAGAUCAAGGAGCACCAUGUUUCAGGAGAUUUUCCUUGAAUCUCCAUGUGUUCACCAACCUGGAACUUCUCCUAACCCCAUUCUUUUGGGUUUGUAUGGAGGCUUCAUUACAUGGGCAUGAUUGAUUAAAUCGUUGGCCACGCUCCUGCCCCUGCCUGUGUGUAAGGUAUAAAGGUAAGAUUCAAGUUCUUAAGUUGAGUAGUUUGGGCUUAUGCUUUAAAUUCACUUAUAUGUCACAACUCUUUUUUAUGUAUCAAAUAUUACAGAAUAAUGAAGACACACUUUAUGUGCUGGAAUGGAAUGAUGCCUACAAUAGACCAUUAAGUAAAGUAGCUAUAUCCUGGUUUAUGUGGGAUAGUCAUGGUUUAUACCUGUGGUAUUUUACCUAGUAUAAUUGCUAAUUGCACCAUCACAUGGGCCUGACUGAAAUGAUGAAUUAUAUGUUGACCCUAUUUUUAAGUAAUAAAACACAUGAUGCAGAAUAGUGCUUAUACUGUGCUUCAUUUUAUGUAAUAUGUCUAUUGAAUAGGUCUAUUCAAUAAUAAAUAUAAAAUUUAAAGAACAAAAGAAUUUUAGCCAACAUUUUGAAAAGGAAGACAUUUGGAAAUAAAAUACUUGGAAAAUAGGAUACUUUAUAAAUGGA